rnacentral:rRNA from 1 species
CUGAUAUGACGAGCUUGCUCUGAUUUGAUUUUAUCUGACAAAGAGUGGCGAACGGGUGAGUAACACGUGGGUAACCUACCUCUUAGCAGGGGAUAACAUUUGGAAACAAGUGCUAAUACCGUAUAAUACCAACAACCGCAUGGUUGUUGGUUGAAAGAUGGUUCUGCUAUCACUAAGAGAUGGACCCGCGGUGCAUUAGCUAGUUGGUAAGGUAACGGCUUACCAAGGCAAUGAUGCAUAGCCGAGUUGAGAGACUGAUCGGCCACAAUGGGACUGAGACACGGCCCAUACUCCUACGGGAGGCAGCAGUAGGGAAUCUUCCACAAUGGGCGCAAGCCUGAUGGAGCAACGCCGCGUGUGUGAUGAAGGGUUUCGGCUCGUAAAACACUGUUAUAAGAGAAGAACGGCACUGAGAGUAACUGUUCAGUGUGUGACGGUAUCUUACCAGAAAGGAACGGCUAAAUACGUGCCAGCAGCCGCGGUAAUACGUAUGUUCCAAGCGUUAUCCGGAUUUAUUGGGCGUAAAGCGAGCGCAGACGGUUAUUUAAGUCUGAAGUGAAAGCCCUCAGCUCAACUGAGGAAUGGCUUUGGAAACUGGAUGACUUGAGUGCAGUAGAGGAAAGUGGAACUCCAUGUG